CAGAGAGGGGAAGGCACAACUCUUCCUGGGAGAGAGCUGCGCAGUCUGUGUGGAGACACAGAAUGGGGCAGCAGUAUGAGUCCCAGACACCAGUCCAGAGGCAAGAGCCAGGAGUGAAAUGAUUCAAGGAUCAGAAAGUGCCAUUUUAUAUCAGCUCCUACUUUGAUGACACCUUGGAAAGCAAACAACUUUCUUCAAAGGGCACUAGAGAAGCUAGGUCAUCAUGCCAGGAAAAACAAUGAAGAGAGAACAACAGAGGUUUAAACCAGUGUGUGUGCAACUUCUGUCCCUAGCCAUAUAGAUCAGCAUGUCCGUAUGACAUAUGCAUCCCAGACCGCUGAAGCUUUCUGGGACCACACAGGCAACUGGAGAAAUACCAGAAGACUAAAGGAAAUCAAAUGUAAUGCUGACUUAAAAUAAAGAUAAGAGGAGCAAUCCUGGAA